AAAAAAAGAAAAGAAAGCUUUCUGGUCCAGUUUGUCCAGAGUGAUCUGCUUCAUUCUUCACACUUGAAACCCCAAGGCUGACCUGAGAUUUAUAACCCUACUCAGCUCUUUACUGUGCACCUUUAUUUUUAACAGAUUUAUGGAAGUCUCCUGUAUUUGGGGACAAAUCAUAAAUACAUGCUAAUAACAGAUGUCUGUCUUUUCUUAAGCUUAAAAUAAGUAAAGCUCACUGUAAUUCCAUUAUAAGUUGUAAAAUUCAUACCUUCUUUUUUGUUUGGCUUUCCUCUUGACUGUGUGGGUAGCAGAUGGCCCUUCUGAAUCCCAGAAAAUGCACAGUUAGCUGACUAGACCAAAACAAGAAGGUUUAAAAAUUGAGGGAUGUACACAGGAAUGACAGGGUUAAAGCAGGAUGCUUUCGGUUGGUCAUGUGAGCUUACUCUGUGAUUUUACAUUGUGGGAAAAGAUCUGUGGGAAAAGUACCCAGGCCCCUCUCCCCCCUCCCCCAAAAACCUGAGAUCUUUGUAGGUGAGGAAUAUCAAAUCACAGUGGUAUGUAAGCAGUGCAGACCUGGCUUGUAUGUGUUAUAUACUGCCUACAUGUCCUUGGCUUUUCUUCCGCUACAGGCAGACUGUCUGAAGUCACCCUCCAGCCUUUCAGCUCAUAAUCUACUUCCUGACAAUAACUAGCAAAAGACUAACAUUGCACUUGGCUCUGCAGUAGACUCCAAACAGCCCAGAGGCACGGCAGGGUCAGCCUGCUGUGAGGCUGUUUGUUUAUCUUGGUUGACAUUUUCCUUUGUGGAGAAUCUGUUCCUUGUUAUUCAGUACGUACAGCCCUGCACAUAUCCUGUUUGACUGUCUUGGGAUAAAAGUGGGUAUUUUCCCGUGUCAAUAAAUGUUGUGGUGUGAAGCUGUGAGCUGGACUCUGAGAGAACCACCCCCUGCUGAGUAUCUCACUUUUGUAUUGAGUUUUCUUUGUUAAUCAAGUGCAAAAUAAGAAGGCUUUCUGUCUAGCAAAAACCCAUCAUUAAUUUUUCAUGUGAGCACUAAAGUCUCGAGCACAAUUCUUGUGUGGCUUCAAAGAAAAAGAAAUAAUAAAACCAAAGAGCUACAUUUUCCUUUUCCUCAUCUUAGUUAUUUGAUAUUUUAAGAAAACUUUUUAAUGCAGAAUUACAGUUCUCUCAGCUUCACAGUGACACAUUCAUUCUGAAAACUACAUUUGACCUUCAACUUUGUCCUUCAUUAGCAGGAUUACACCUAAACACUCCUUCAUUUUACUGCAAAUGAGACAGAUGCAAUGCAUAUUCUGUUCGGCCCCAGCAUUAGGAUUAUCCCAAGAGUGGCAUUUAUGUUCUUGUAGUUCCUUGGUAUAAAUAAAUAUCAAAGUAGGAAGACCAAUCUGUACUCCACCAGGAAUAAUAAACUAAAAUAAUAUGGCACUGAUUCUGUUUGGGUUGUCUAAAUGUGUUUUUAUGAUUGUAUAUGUUUAUGGCUUUCUCACACAGCCACCAUGAAUUCCAGGCAAUUAAAAAGGACAUGAGUUCUGAAGCAUUUUAAAAGGGGCUUUGCUUUCCAAAUGGUGUGUAUUAAAAGUAGAAUAUAUUUUUUUGACAGAACUACUGCAAAGUCAACAGUCACACAUUUGCCCUGCUCCAAAUUUCUUCCCCUUCUCCCACCUGAAAUAACUAAUUAGAAUAUUUCUGUAAGUUGAGAAGAAAGGCAGGGAAAGAUUCCUUUUAUGUUUGCACAUGUAUUAGAUGCAUUGCUAACUUAAGUCUCAGCCUGCAGGCCCCAGGUUUGAAAGUAGCUCAGAGGGAGAAUGUAGCAGGUCUUGUAUAAGGUGCAUCAACCCGCUGUACCAUCUGCUUUUCCAGGGUGAACCAGUCCAGUGUCACCACUCCCAUGAUGGAGAACAGUCCUGCUGAACACUGCCUUGUGUCCACCCCUGCUUGACUGAGAGGCACAGAUUUUUCAGUUGUAGGUGUAGAGAAGAACAGUAUUUAAUUGGAUAAAUGAGUAACUCUGCUCUAACCUACCUUGAACUGCUCGGUCUGUGUGGUGUCAUGAGUUAUCCAACAAAGAAGUAAAAAUACAAGUAGUGAAGAAACAGUACUUUUGAUCAGACCGUUAAAUAUUUUUUGCUUGCUUCUGCUAUUUACAUCAAUUCAAAUAGAGUGUAAAGGGCCAAGAGAAGAAAAAUGUCCUUAAAAAUUUUCCAAUUAUGAACUAAGUCCAGGUUCAAGUGGUUAUGUUCAAGAAAUACUUUGGAAGACUAGGGUAAACUGGAUUUGAUAGGUACCUCAAACAGGUACACUUUUAAAGGUAUAAAUGCAUUGUUCCUCCCUCAGGUCAAACAAUCCCUAACCACAUGACUUUAUACAUGAAAGAAGGUGAAUAAAUGGAAGAGAGAGAGAGAUAAAGCUCAAUAUUUUGCUGCUCCACAAAGUCUCCCACAGCUGUCAGUGGAACAACUUAAGGACUUAGGCGUUAACAGCAUAAUGUUUCAAAAUUUAGCCAGAUUUAUCAUGAAAGGAGAGUUUAUUGAAGUGUAUGGCUACAGCAGUCACUCACCUGUUCAUAACACAUCUGGAACAAGCACCUGAAAUCUCUGCAAGGGCUGGAAACAUGGCAUAGUAGUUUCAUAGAUGGCACAACCUUUAAUACACAAUGGAUGUGGGCAAACAUACAUAAAAAUUCUGGGCCAAGAGUCCUGAAACUCUUUCAGAGUUCACAAGUAGUCAUAUUUUGUGAGAAAAUCACUAAGGAUUUCUGCUAGUUUGGUCAUAAGGUGUUGCCUCUUCUGCAUUGUUCACUGUACCUUUGGUCCAUCCACCUGUUACAUAAGUAUUUUACUGGGUGCACAGUCCUAAAGGGAAUUGUUAGCCCAUUGUGCUUAGGUGCAGAAUGUCAGCUGUUUAGUAGAAAUGUAUUAUCCUGUCAUUAUUAAACAUUUAUUUUUUGUAGCACCAAGAAACCAAUCCUAUCAGGUUUCCUCUGUAAAUUUUCAGUGAAUGAUAGUCCCUGACAAGCUGACAUGAGUGUGAAAGAGCAGGAAUUGACACAAGCUUCUGGUGUUUCCAGAGGAAGGGUGUAAAUCCUGCCCAGGGGACUCUUGUUUAGCAAUAACAUCCCUUAUGGAGAUAAAACAGGCGCUCCUGAGGCAACCUCUGGCAGCAGCAGGGCAAAGAAGAAAACCCUGAUGAGCCAGAAGUGUUUCCAAAGGCAAGAAAAAGCAGUCCCAUCCCUCUGGGGAGGUUAGGAGGCAGGAAAAGAAAAUAAGCAGAAUGGGGGAAGUCCAACUUAUUAUUUGAAAAUUAUAGCCCAAUUUUCACACGUUUAAUCAAAGCAAGCUCUGAGCCAGCAAAAUUACCCAUCAUUAGUGGACACAGCCAAGGUGGCUGUUCAGUACCAGCUGCAGCAGCAGAACCAGCACUGCCCUGGGUAAGAGCUGCACUGCAGGAGCCCAGCUCUCCUCCUGGACUGGCUGGAAAGUCUCUGGCUUGUCUAUUACAGCAGGAAAUGUUUUUAAAUCUGAACAAUGCAGGAGAUCUGAGGACAGGCAGCACAGAUAAUGAAAAGAAAAAAGAACUAUUACUUGCAAAUGAUUGUUGCUUUGUCACUUUUCCUUAAUUUCCUCAGUAACUGGUAGAAACCGUUCCUUAGAAAAUAUUUAGGAAAUAACAUCCAUAACACUAUUUCCCUGUCUCCCUUAGCUAUUGUUUCCAUCCUUUUACUUUCGAUGACAGGUGAGUUUCAAUUGUAGUCCUUUUUAUGAAUACUCACUGUAUAAAUUAUGCAGAAUAAAGUCUCUAAUUUCACAGUAAAUUUCAAAGAUUCUUUUCUUGUUGUGGUGUGUAACAACUGCAUAAUGUUUUUAUUUAGUUCUUCAAAGGCUUUAUGAUCAAAAUUUUUGUUUUAAAUAAUGCCCAUAAAAUCCCUACAUUCACUUAUGAAAGCAGAAGAUGAAAGAAUUAAAUAGCAAGGUUUAAUCUUCAUUUGAUUUGUUAGACUCAGGUAAAUAAUACUGAUGUCCACACUGUAAUUUGAAAGGAAGAAUGUUUUAUGGUUUUUUUACUUAAGUAUGGUCCAUGGCUAAAACCAACUGACCAUGAGUCAGACCUUCACCUGGUGCAAAGUAUUCUUGAAGUUAAUGCAGAAAAAGCAAUGUACAUCAACAAUGAAAUAAGGUAUUAUCAAGGCUCUGAUUCUGAAAAAAAACCCCUUUGUUGAUCCACACUGAAAUUAGGGAGCUGCAUCUAGGGGGCAAGGAUUCAGCUGUUUGGAUUUUAAGGCUCAGAGCUCAAGGUUGGGAAGUAAUUUCCUGCAUUGACAUUUUCAUUUUUGAGCUUUCUGAUCUGUUUCUCUUGAAUACAAUAAAGAAAACUUUCCUCGUUCCACAAAAGAUUUUUGACUGUCAAACUUCUUGUCAGACGUUGGUAUGGAAGAGGUCUCUCAAAGCCACCAGCUCUAAUAGUAAAUAUUUCCCUCCAGUAUGUAGAAGACCAGAGUCCAAUGGAUACUUAUUUAUGUAACAUGAACCAGUUUGAUCAGGAGCAGUUGAACAAGGCCCUGGAAAAAUCCACUGCUUGAUGGCUGGUAAAUUAGUAAGGAUGCAAAAGGUAUACAUUUGUGUGCCUGGUUAAAUCCAGCAUAGAGAUCUGAACAGCAGGUUCCUGUGUUUCUUGCAUGAGCUCCCUGACUCUGUGCUGCUCAUCACACCAGUGCAGGCAAAGGCUUUGUACAAUCAGUAUUUUAGCUCCUACAGGACAGCUUUGGCUUUGAAAUUUGGUGCCUUACAAGGACAUGCCAUUUAUUGGAAUAUACCUAGUUGUCCUGAAUUGCAAGUUCUACUAUUAAAGCCCAAAAAAUUAAGAUGGUACCAAAACAGAGAAAUAUCAAAUUAUCCUGAAAAUCAUGCAUAGCUUCCUUUUGUGCUGAAUGACAAUUAAACUGCUGAAGGUCAGCCACAGCCUUACAGCUCUUAGGUUUGGAUUGCUGUGCGUCACAAGCCUUUUCACGAGCACCUGACAAAUCUCUCUCAUUAAUAACAAAUGACAAUCUCACUGGUGCUACAAUGCAUGUUACAUUUAAUCAAUUUGCUAUUUGUAUUCAUUAUGUACAUCUCCUAUUUUGAGUCAUGAAAAAUUGAGAAGUAAUUACAACGCGGAAGAGCAUCACGGAUAACAAAUGAGAUAAGAUGAGAAAAAGUACUAAUAAUUGGUCAGUUGUUCUUGUCAGUACAUUUAAAGUAAUUAAGGCAGGAAAUGAGAUAAGACAACUGUAUGCCUUUGAAGUGAAACAGAGCAUCAGGAUAACCACUGGUAUGGUACACUGAUUAUGAGAAAAAUUCAAUCAUCUAAACAUGUAUGGUAGUGAGACAGGCUUUAGAGAGUUGUUUAACUACAGCUAUUACUUAAAGAAGCCAAAGUAACUUCCCUGAGUGAAAUCUAAUUGUAGUGCCUGGUAGCCUGAUCCUGCUACAAGUCUGCCUGUCAACAUCUCCAUUAUAGCCCCUACUGCCAGGGGCUGCUAACUCAUCUUUUUUACAUUUCAACAGCCUCAAAGAAGGCAAAUAAAUUAGUGACUCAGAUGUCUAUUUCUGUACUAAAAAUAGGAAGACACAUUAAACUUUUUAAUCAAGAGAAUACCAAGAUGAUGACAACUUUUAGGAUUUCAAUUGCAUUUUCUUCUGAACCCCAGGAUUACCUUAAAAAACGGAAAGGGAAGAAACCGUGUCUCUGACACGGAGACAGGCUGAUGCAAUUUUGCACCUUGGUAAGAUUUUGAAAAGUGGAAUAGCCACACUAUCUGCUUUUGAAAAGUGGAAUAGCCACACUAUCUGCUUUUAAUGAACAACUGCUGAGUACUUCUACCUGUUAGUUCAUAGGGCUUUUACCAAACUCAGUAGUCCACAUUCCCUGUUGCUGUGAUAGACAAACACAAAAGAAUGCAGGUCCACCUUAAGAGACAAUGCACCUAAUUGAAUCUUGAACAGAGCUUUGAGGAACUUACAUGUCUACAGCAGAUGCAGCAGUCCCAGGAAGUUCUCUGUCCAGCCAUUUCCUCUGGGCCCCAGAGAUCCAUAACUCUCUCCAUGUGCCAACCAGGAUCAAACUGAGCAGAAUGCUCACAUCUGGACCCAACCAGUGCAAGCAGGAAGCACCCAGGCUAGUCCGAGUAAGCACCCUGGAUUUGGCUUCUUAAAAAUGCUAUUGUGAACCCCACUUCAAAUUAAAAUCUCUAACACCUAAGACAGUACUCAGAAGAGUCUACUGGUCACAGGUAGUAUUCUGUGUCUGUAUGGUAGAUCUUCCUGAAAAAAAAAAAAGGCAAUUAAAAUUAACACAUUAAAUUCUUAAUAACUACUUUUUGUGCUUCAGAAUUAAAAUUCAUUCUUAUAAUCAUGCUUUAGGAGAGGUAGUGGCCAGAGGAUCCUGCUAUGCAGAGUCACAAGUAUAAACUUCAUGCCAUUUAUGCUUAAAAGGGUAUGUUUAAGGUUGGAUUCAAACAGAAAACAGAGUAAAGACACAAGAACAGAAAAAAACAUGGCUGACAAUCACUUUCUUGAGAAAGAGAACCACAGUGACAAGGGAAGGCAAAAGUGCUGAGGAAGGUGAUGACUGAAUUGCUGUGACAUCUGGAAAGUAGAGUUUGGUCAUAAAAAACGGCCCAGCAUUAGCAAUUAUAGUAGCUUUUCUUUGACAUUGCCCCUGAAGUUUAGAGGGAAUAUCAUUGAUUUCAUAAUGAAAGCUAUUCAUUUUGUAAAGGUUUAUUGUAAAGUGUCAUGAGGAAAGGCAUCCUCAAGACAGUAAGGAAUAUAACGAAAAACCUGUAAAAAAGGUGUAAAGAAUUCUAAAUCACUGCAUUGCCUAGAUAUUAAUGUAAGUAGGUACUAAAUGCACUGGCUGAUUAAUGCUUCAUUCCCCUUAAGGAAAGAGAAUUAAUAAAACAAUAUUUAAAGAAAUGCAGGAGUGAAUAAAACCAGCACUAGCAGCACAGUGAUUACAUGGGAAACAAGACUCAGUAAGGCUAAUGUGCUUUCUCAGGUAGGAUUUGGUGUAGAAAUUGACAGCUAAAGCUAUUCAAAGAGGCAACACGAAGCCUUCAUUAACUUCAAGUAAAACAUUUUUUAAUCACCUAAGUCCCUUACCAGCUCUCUGUGUGUCUAUUCCCCAUCAGCAGUGGGGCGCAAAAGUUCUCGGCUUAAGCCAUUCUGGAAAAAGAGUUUCAGCUUAUCAGGGAGCUUUUUUAAGCUGCCUGUUCAAAAGGAUUACAACUGUUUAUUUGUCACCAACCUGCAGUCAACAGAAAUGAUAGGUUUUUGUGAAAUCAUAGAAGUAUAAGCUUUUUGAAGAACAGACUAUACAUGUAUGUCUACUCUGAAGACCCUCUCUGAAGGAGAACAAGGAUGUCUGUGUGCUGGAUACAGGGCUUUGUAAAUAAGGCUCCAGACAGUUCAUUGGUAUAAACAAAGGAGUAAAGGCAAAGCUAAAAAAAGCAAGUGAUAUUCAGGACAGGAUUUUCUAGACUGGUGUGAACUUCAAAUGGAAAUAGAAGAGUUUCUGCCAGGCCAACAAGACCUCAAUCCCUGCUCAGUGUCUCAAACUGCUGCAUUGGUGCAGAGCCUCCUGCAGCUCUCUGCAGGCACAGCAGUCCCACAGCUUGUAGGGCUGGGGCUGGAGUAGGUAUAUUUUAUAUGCAAACACACAACAGAUAUUUCAGGUAUUACAAAUAUUAGGUGAUGUAAUUAUGUAACUUAGGACCAUGCAUCCAGGCUCCUAGAUUUAUUAAUAUGUUGUAGGUCUUGUGUUUAUUUAGAAGGAAAUUUAUAUAUCAAGCACUCUGAGUAGUGGUAUGUACUCAACUGCUAUUGACUCACAGCUGGUUGGAAGUAAUUAUAUGAUUUCUCAAUGAGCAUCAGAAGUCAGCCAUAAAGUUCAAUUAUUUUGACAUAAGAGAUCAAUACCAGGAAUCUGAAGCAAUUAUAGGCCCAUGAUUCAGAAACUACUUGGCUAAAAAUGAUCAUGUGUUGAAUCAGUCCCUGACUACAGCUACAAGUUCAAUUGGCAGUGUGGUUCUUCACAUCAAAGCACAUGUAAUCAGUGGUUUAUGCUACUAACAUAAGCUGUUAUUAUUUUGCAUUUCCAGAGCACACCCUGCACCAUGGACAGCAUCCUGGACUGAACGCGUCCUUUCCCAGAGUAAUUCUGAAUGUAAUAUUGAAAUCUGUCAUCAUUCAUAUCUGUGAAAAGCACAAGAGAUAACAGUGUACAUUCACUUCUUUUAAAUCAGCAUCAACGUGUUGUCUCUCACAUUAAAUAUUAAUCAAACUUCUGAGUCAACAAAUUUCAUCACUGAAGCAAACAGAAGGCAGUACUAGGAUGCCUACUGUCAGGGCCAGUCCUGAGCAACUGUGCUGGAUGCUCUUCCAGAGCACUCCUGCUGCCCUUUCCCUCCCGGAAAGUGGACUGGCAGCAAGCACUGCUGUCACAGCUCAGCUGAGUGGCCAAGUCAUUUCCAUGUGCUUCCCAGCUCCACACCACGCUGCCUCCUGCCACUAUCCCACAGUGACACUGCAAACACCUAAAAGUGUCAAUAGUACAGAGGUACCAUAUCUCUAUAAUGAUUGCCUUGCUCCUGGUGUCUUCUCCCACUUCCUUUGCUGGAAUCAGCAGACAGCUGGCACUAAACACCAGGGGUUUUUCCUGGGUAUGAUAAUGAUUUGACAUAAAAGAUAAUGUUAGACACAGUUAGGUACAGAUGUGACUUUGGCAAUUCCCUUCCUUUCCCAUUUCCUUCUGCUGUCUUUAAAACAAGUCUACAGCAAGCAAAAAUGAGCAAUGAAUGUUGCUGCUCUCUGUUUUGAUUUAUUUACUAAGUGGUGCUACAUCCAAACAGACAUUCACUGCAGUUUCAUCUGAAUGGACCCAAACAGGGUCCACCCUUAGGAAACAGAGAUAUUUCCACUUCUUCAUUCCAAGAAUGUGGAGAACAGUUCUGAAGUAUAACACGUUAUCUUACAAUGCAAAAGAAGUAAAGAUACGUGUAAUUUAGGCUCCAAUAUUUGUGCUUAGGGUCACAGCCCAGGCUGUUCAGAAAUAUAUUAAAUAGAAGAUAUCAUGUUGGAAAAUUUGACCAACCAUAGGGCUAUGCUCAAAAUGCAUUGCCAACAAACCCCCCCACACCAAACACAAGAAGGAUUUAUUUUAGUAGGUUCAAUAGUUCAGAUAUUGUUCACCUUAGUGAUGAACAUGUAUUGUGUCCUUGUGAAGACAAUUAAGAAUUUUUCUGUGUCCUUCUACUGGCGACAGUAAUAAGAGACCACGGCUUCAAAAAAAACAAGACAAAAUACUUUCCCUUCUUACUUUCUGUCCUAAUUCAAAAGUCAUUUUUAUUUUAAAUGGUUUAACCAAUACCAGAAUAGCUUAAACACAGGAAAAAAAUGUAAUGGUGUUAUUUAUAUUUUUCCCUUACCAACAGUCAAAAUCCUCACAUUUUAUUUGCAAAACUAUAAAUUUUGGUGAGCUUUUCCCACCAAAAAUAACUCCUGAAAAGCAAGACAAUCUCAUAUCACUGAAAAAUGUUAAAGAGUACCCUUCAAGUUUCCUGGACAGCUGACCAUCAAGAAACCAGAGCUUUCUUUGGAAGCAACCAGAAAGACUGUGUGUAGACAAACACCUGAGCAGCAUAGCCUGUAAGAAAAAUAUCUUAAGUCUUUUAAACAUUGCAUGUAAAACUGUUUUGUAUCCUAAAGAGCUAUAAAGGAAAUUACUGAUUUUACACUAGUAUCAUCACAAUAUCAGUGUGGUCUUAAUCAGUCAUCAUAAUAGCACGUCUCGUUUGCAAGUGUGGGUUCAUUAACAGGACAGAAAUAUCCCAGCUUGUUCAGACCAUUCAAACUGUGCCUUAAACCAACAUGGUUAUGUGCUGGUUGUGCUAUAGGGACAUCUCAGAUUAGAGCUUGGCACUGUUAUUUUCCCAAAGGCUGCUGCUGUGAGUACACAGGCUACUACCCAUGUGUAAGUGCAAGGUGAUAGAAACAGCUCCUUGUUUCUUUUGAGCACUCCUGAGAGCAAUCCUGCUUGGAAACUCCCAGGCUCGUUAAGGCUAAAACAUGCCAGGAAUCCAAGGCCAGCCAGCUCCUCAAAGGAAUCUCAGGCUUGGCAUUAUGUGUGUCCUUUGUCCAGGGACAGAACAUUUGUGUCUUGAAACUGGAGCAACCAGCGUAACUCGACAGCCAAACCAGGUCUCGCUGCCUGGACUUCUUCCUGGCGCCUCUGCCACCUGUUUCCACGCCAAGGCUCAUCUGCUCCCUGCAUGAGGCAUUCCAAAACCAAACUCCUUUCUGGCCUUUCCCCAGUGAGCCACUCACUCCUAAGCUGUCCCUGAUCACUGGGGCACAAAUAAGGCAGCAGAAAUGAGACUCGGACCACCUCUGUUAAAAGGAGGCAACAUCUCCUGCCACUUGACACUAGCAUACAGGUUUAGUGCUAUCCUGUGUUUUCUGCCAUGUUUUUUACUGAUUUAUAAAUAUUCAUAUGUGUAUUUUAUUUGUGGUGGGGUUUUUUUUGCCAAUUUGUAAAAUUUGAGGUGAAAUUAUUUUACUUUUUCCUUCCUUGGGAUCUGUGGAAGGCAUCUGUGCCAUUCUGCUUGUGUAAGUGCUGACAAAUCCAUCCCUUGAGAGACAACUAAUUAGUCACAGGGAAGUUUAAGUCUUGUUCCUUAAAGAAGGAGGUAAUGUCAUGGUGGCAAAACCUGUCACCUUUGCCUGACCAACCUGAAGGGAGAAAGACUGUUAUUGCACAGUCCAAUCCAUUUGUGUGACAGGGAAAAUGAAACUGUAUUGUCUAGGGUAGAAAACGUAAUAAUCUAAAAAUAUUCAAAGAGAAAUCAUCUCCAAGCAGUGCUAACAUUUUCAGAGGCAGCUCUCUCUUCCAGUGCCACAAACGAAACAGAUUAUCAGCAACUAAGUGAUGGGCAGUUAUUUAAUGAGUUAAUCUCAUUAGGAUAUUUGAACUCUCAGAAGAGACUCAACUCAUUAGAUACAUGAGAGCUUUGAAAUAAGCCUUUCAAAAGGACUAUUAGAAUAUGUUAAAAUGUGGUUAAUACACUGUAGACUUAACCAGGCUGUCUGGCAGGAGGAAGAGCAAGAGGUCAAUGCCAUAAGCCCCACAGUCAUGGCAGCCAACAGGCCCCAGUCACCCCUAGAGUCCAUCAAGUAACAUCACUAACAAUUUGGAUUCUUGUUUCUAAGGUUAACUUUGCCAUUCUGUACAAUUUCACCUUGCUUUCCAAUUUUGAAAGCUAUGCUUUUACCGGAUUUGGAUAGUCAAAUCUGGACUAGUCUUAUUUUGUAUAUAAAACAAACAAAAAAAACCCCAAAACAAAACCCCCCAACUGUAAUAAUAGCUUUAAGUUACUUCACCUCACAUUCUCCAUAGUGAUGGAAUCCCCUCUAAUUCUCUCUCUUUUUUUUAACUAGAACAUAAUUCAAAAAAAUGCAGACUGUGAUUAACUACAUUAAGAACAACAGCAGUCUCAUCUAGAAAAACAUUUUGUCAUUACUUCGAUUUCAGUGGGAUACCACAGCUUACACAAUUGCACCUUUGGAACUUACAUUCUAUAACUGGUUUCUGCUCUUUAUAUUUACUUAUAUUAGCUUCAAUAAAAUAAUUCACAUUACUAAAGUGAAUAGUAUUUGACCCUAUAACAUUAAAUGAAAGGCAUUAAUUGCAGAACCUAGAGAAUAUCUUCCAGCAAUAAUUAAAACUCAGGAAUAAAUUUUUCCAUCAUCAUAUAUCACAUUGAAGUGUGGAUACCUAAUGCCUGAUUAUUCAGAUGUGCUCUACAAAACAGUCGAGAAAUGUCCACCACAUAAUUGCUAAUGCUAAUUGAUUUAGUCUAUGGUUUUAAAAGCAGCGAUAUGAAAGGUUCCAAUUGUUUACAGUGUUGUAAAAUGUGACUUAAGUAAGGCAUUUUCAGGAGUUUGGGGAACAUUAUUAAAGUUCAUUUCCAUUGUGCAGCUGCAGGAGUUGGAAUUAUGGAAGUGAAGAAGCUGUAAAAUCGAAAAGGUCAGUAAUGACAUUCAUCUAUUCCAGCUGUCAAAUCAAGGGAAUGUUAACAAAACUAGUCUCUGGUAGAAAAGCUAAUUGUCUACUUGUGUUUUGGCUGCCCCAAUACACAUACUCUACUGUGCCUAAACCAUAGGAAAGACCACACUGGAACAGUAUAUCAUUUUUUGAACAGGCUUCUUGUAAACAAAUAAACCUAAUUUCCCUGAAUUAGCAAGCUGUAAUGAUUCCGUAACAUAAAUCGGUCUACAAAGCAGCCAAAAGUUUCAAGUUUAAAGAAGACAGUAGGUGAGUAAAGUUCACUUGUAAUCCUGGAAGCUUUCAGAGUGCUGAGAGUACAGGGCAAAUUUUAAAUUUUACACUGAUGCAGUCCUGCAAGCAGCAUUUCAAAAGUGUCUCCUGCCAAGGCAUGUUUUAUUACAACAACAUAUAGGAAAGUUUCUUUCACAGACCAAAUCUUUUAUAGAUGACCUGGAUUUAAUGAUCCCACAGUGUGAGGGACCUUGUCUUCAACAGCCCGUUCCCAUGGGGUGAGACAGUGCAAAUGUAAGACACCUAAACACAAAUCAUCAGUGGAGACUGAGUCUAAGACCUUUGUUAUGGAAUGACAGGCUCCUGCCACAUGCAGAAAGAGCCCUCAUCAAGAAACAGUGAGAGACAUGCUUUUUAUGAUGCACCAAAUCCUGUCCUAUGCAGAGAAUGACAUCCCUCAGCAACUGAGGCCAAAGAAAAGGGCCCGAGACGUGUAGCAUGCAACUCAUUCAAGGGAAUCCAGUGAUUAACCUACACAGUUUUAUUGCAAGCCCCCCUGGCUAUUUUCUGUUGCUCUCUGGGUUUGUAUUUUCACCCUAUAUGCUGCAGAUGUUACCAGAGGUUUAUGAGGACUGCUUGAACAACCCCACACAGCUGACACUCGGUGUGAAGACAGUAUUCCCACAGUGCACAUAUACACCACCUCAGAUUUUUAUUUGUCCUGUGUUAUGUAAUAAAAAUGUGACAGAAAAAAAUCCAACUUAACCAAUGACAACAUAAUAAUGGGUCAAUAUGUGGGUUAUUUUAAAAAUCUUUCUGCUAUCUCACUUGUUUCCUAUGCAGAAGUGUUGCAAAAGCUAAAAAUACCAGCAAUUCAUGAAAUAUUCAGGUGUACAGUUGCAAUUCUUUAAUAAAUGGGAGUGACCUUCAAAACAGACAUCUCAAAGAUUAAGAGAACUUCUCAAAAGAUGGCAUUUGUCACUAAUCAAUGGCUUGAAGAACUUACACUUUUCCUAGCAAUGAAUACAAAAAAGACCUUUCAGGAUUAUACCACUUUAAAAGCAAAUCAUUCACAAAACCCCCACAAAAGAACAUUAAUGAGCUAACAAAACAGCAGAACAAAACAUCACACAAGGCAAUUGAAAAGAUAAAUCCCCUUCUGUCUAUCAGUACCUACAUCCAUAUCUGGAUUGGUGGAAAGCCACUGACACAUCCAUCUGCUGUUUCCAGGGGCUGGACAAUGCUUUUCACAUUAAAUACAUGUCUUUUAUUGUGAUACUGUACAUCAAAAUACUUAUAACAUUUUACAAAUGGAUUUCCUCUUUCAUAGACACACAAGUAUCUUGGCUCUAACUGGGUCACUAUAUUGGAACAGGUGUAAUCUCAGCAGAAUACUGUAGGAAAUCUGGGCUACAUUAAUGGCUGAUCCAAUUACAGCGGAAAUCUCUAGAAAACCCAGAUUUAUUAAGAACCAGGAGAUAAUUACAAUGUACUUCUAGGGAUGACCAGAUGGACAGGCCAGUCUCAAACUCUUUAAGGGCACUGGAGCUGAACAAGAGGUGCUUAUGCCAUUGCCUACGUAGUUGGAGAAAUUCCCAUUCUGAGGACAUGGUGAAAAAGCUGGAGGCUCACUGCAGACCCCUGGGGGGACUCAAUCCCAACACAUCCUAGCCCAGGAAGUAGCAUGGUUUACAUGCUGCUGUGAGGACAGGGUGGCAGAGGAAAAGGUCUCCAGGAAAGAAUGACAGCAGGAAUCAAGAAACCCCAGGCAGUUUUUUGUCCAAGGAGACUAUUUACACAAAAGAGCUCCUUAUGACUUAAUAUCAGGUCCUCUUGACAAGCUGCAUUUUCUCUCCUGAAUAGGAAAUAAAUGCCACCUCCCAGAUGCCCAUCUGAUCUGACACUUAGAAACACAACCAUCUACCACAGGCUUGGACCAGAAAAAGAGAAUGAAAAAUACUUGAAAAAUCCGAGUAUAAAUAGGUCUUUUUACCAAUCCAAAGGCAAAACUUCAUAGCAGCCUCUGUGAUUUUGCCAGCAUGCUUCAUCAGAGGGACCUGCCCUUGUCUCUAGUAAAACUGCACCUGUGAGUUGUCCCAUUAAGGUAAUUUGGAUCUAAGAAGAUGUCUGACGUUAAGCAUUUAGUUAGUUAUGAACUUUGCUGAAUCACGGUCUUUUUUUUUCAUCUAAAUAUUUCCCUAAGAAGAUACAUUAAACAGUAGAACAUAAUGUUUCUAAUUUAUGGAACUUCCUGCCAGCUUCAAGCUAGUAAAUAUUUACAUUUUAGCCACUGAUAGCUAAUGUGACCUUUCUGUUAUACACUUUACACCUGUGCUAUAUUUUACUUUCAGUGUUAACAUUCUCUCUAGUCCAUCUUUCAUUAACAAGCAGUAUUUAAAUAUAUGCAAAUUUCAUAUUUUAGCUGAUGUUUUAGGAACAUUUUUAAGGUCACCCUGUUUGAUCUAUCACAUAGACAUAGCAAAUUUAUGCACCAUAUAUCCUGUCUCUACUUGUUUUUUACCUACAUCUGUCUUCUCUGAUUGCAUUUGAAUGAGCUUAUUUUUUAUUUUAAAUAAAAGAUUUAUGCCUUAGCUGUCAUUUUGCCUUUAUUUGAAAAUUUAAUUUUGUUUCUAGAAGUCUAGAUUAACUUAUUAGAUUUAACUGUCCUUUGUGCAUUACAGCAAUAGAAGAAGUAUAUUUUCCCCUGUGGAUAGAGUACAUAAACAAAAUGCUCUUGACUUAAAAAUGAAGAAUGUUAUUACUCAGACCAGUACAAUACAGUCCAGGAUACAAAAACUGGUGUUGUCAUUUUUAAUAAUAAUAGUGAAAAAUGGGAAUUGACUAAUAAAUAUGACAACUCACAAAUCCAGCAGCCUCCAAAACCUGGGAAGUGCUUUGCAGAAAAGGCAUGCUCCCCCAAAAGUGUCCCCUACACUUAGGUUAGUGAAUAUCCUUUCAUGACACAGCACCACUGGGACACACAACUUGAUUCCUGAUACUAAUGGAUUUAUUUAAAUGAGGCAGAAAUGAGAAACUGCACCACUGUUUCCAGUUAGUCAGAGGGCUGUUUAUUGAUUCCAUGUGGUAUAUCACAUCUUCAGUGUGACACGUUCUUUAGCAUCUCUCAGCAGUGCUACAUUCAUAAUAUUUUCUCUCAAGUCCUGGAAUUGUAGGGCUUUCCUGAAGGGAUAACCAUCUCAUUGCAAUUGCUGCCUGUGGUCCUAGCAAUGUCCCAAACAGCUGAGGUCUCUGGAGCAGGGGGGGCUGGUGCUUGGGGAAGGUUAAUAUUUUCAAACGUGUUCAUACAUUUUGACACUUUUUCCCCAUUUUUCAUUUCUAGAAGUACCUGGGCUUCUGACCACUUGUCUUAUUUUCUCUUCACACUGUGACAUCCACGUAGACCCAGACAGAAUCUGGUUUUAAUCAACCUCUGCAACUCCUAUAAACACUCAAACCCUACAGCUUGUGAUUCUGCACUUCAACAAUAUGCAAUGGGAACAGAGAAAACAAAAAGCUGAAGGAUAAGUAUUUACCUAUGUUAGUAAACCUUUAGUCACAAAGUGGCAAACCUUGUCCUGGCUCCCUUUGUUAAAUACUGAACAUCAUGAAAACAGGUCUUUUGAGGAGAAAGGAGGAAUUCCUUGUACAAAGAAGACAAUGAAGGUACCUGAUGGCUUUUAUCAUUCACAAAAUAUCAGCUAAGAGUUCAAUGGCACACACGACUACAAGGUCCCCUACUCCCCCAGUUCAGGGCAACACAGCAGCUAUUUAAUAUCAGCUAUAUUUAUAAGCUAUUUAAUAUAAUGAUGAAGAACAGCAUGGCUACCCACUCUUAAGGAAAGUAGGACAGGGCAAAGCUGAACCUGUUGGCAGCCUUCAGUCUGUGCCACUAUAUGCAUAAAGUGCUAUCAAAUCCAAGUAACUGCAGUAACUGGUCAAUCUUGACAUUGGCCCAGUAAAAGUUAAGUGAAAAUACCACAAGACACAUCUCCAUGUACACAAAGCCAUCAACACAAAAGUGGAGCCUUCCCAAGAUUCUUGGAAAAUCUUAUCAGCUCAGAAACACUCUAAGAUACAUAUUUUAGACACUAUCGUUAAUAUGAGCCUCCUGCUGUCCUGUCCUGCUAAAGAAUACGUGACCUCUGUGGCACAGAAUGACCACACCAGUGGAGGUACUGGGCAGGUAACCACCCAGCAGGGAGGGCUUACACUUAUCUGCUCUCCUGGUAGCAGGUUCCUCUGCUGAGGAUCAUGAGUAAAGCCAUUUCAGCCUAUUGCUUCUGCUCUGAUAGCAAAAAUUCAUCAAGGAUGUGUUACAUUAAAUCUUAAACGGCCUUUCAAAACAUCAUACAGGACAAAAAUAAAAGGCUAAUACCUGCAAGGAAGCAAACUGUGCAGUACACACUUAAAGGUUUCUUCAUCAUGCUUAAGAAGUAGAAUAUAUUAUCAUGACAAUUAUUUGUUACAGAUAGCACCUUCGAACACCAAAUAAAUUGUACAAACCACUGCACCAGCAGAGCUGAAAAGGCUGCUCCUCCUCCAAAGUGGUGUCGCUUUAAUUUAACAAGUAAUUAAUGAAUACAUAAACCCCGGACAGAACUUUAAUCUAUCCCAGUGCCAAAUAAUUAAUCAUUCAUUCCACGUUUAAUCCUGCUCUGAUAAAUGUAAUUAAUAUUUCACCAUGACACUGCAGAAUAGAACAGUACCUGGGAGCAGAGAAGCCUUCCAUUUCUCCUUUGUUGUAACUCUGAAGUGGUAGCUGCUGUCUACAACUGACAGGUAAUCCAGAAUGCAGUGUUCCCCCGCAGUUGUAAAUUAGGGUUUAUGCAUGGCAUAUAUUGUGAUUGUAAUGAGCCUUUUCUUCCUCUGACCUAUAAUUAAAAAAACACAAAGCAACAUCAACAAAACAAAGCACAACAACUAUGAAAAAUAAGUCACCUGAGCUUGGUCAACCAUUUUUCUGACAUGACAGCGUUUGGGAAACCAGAGCUUGCAGUAAUGUUUUGGUCUAUACAAUGUCACUGACCAUGUGCCAGGGAUGUGGACAGAGAACAAAGCAUGUGCAGAUUGUCUGCUUCUGUCCACAGAGAGCAGUGCUGUGAGAAAAAGCAACUGGGUGAAGAUUUAAGUCCUAAUUUUACUGCAGCAAAACACUGGCAUCUUUUUUGAAAGCUUAAAGUCUAAUCAAGAAACGUGUUGAUGUGUACAAAAUUAAAUUUCAGGAACUCCUCUGCUGAUUUUUUUCAGGGUGACACAUCUCAGGUAUCCACAUAUUUCAGCAAAGAGUUUUGUGAGGAAGAUUGUAUAAGAAACAAAUUGCUUCGGGAUCCUGCUGCCCAAUUACUCCGAAAAAGAGAGGCAUCCCUUCAGAGUUGUCUCCUUGCUCAGCGUUCUCCAUCAAUGAAGAGGCAGCGAGCGGCGGUUCCUGCAGCACCAGCACCAUCUGCUGCCUCGCCCCGGCAGCACAGAAGCCCCACGGAACUUUCCUCGCUGGAGCGUCCAAAAUAACAGCAAAGCAAAUUUUUUUAUUUUUUUAUUUUAUGGGGGGCAGCCCGAUCCGCAGCGUGCCCUGCAAAGCUCCUGCUGGCCGAGCGGGUCGGUAAUAUUUACGUGACAUUUUCCGGCAGAGUGGUUCUAAAAUCCCGGCUUUCUCUGCUGUGGUGAAAAAGGAUAAAACCAACAAAGGAAAAAAACUGGUAUGAUUCUGAUUAAGUGCGGCCACCAAUGUAAACACUGAAGUGGGAGACUGUCACUUGCUCCCCAGAAAGACAUCCGGCACCUCUGUUGGAACAUCUUACGGGGCUGAGAGGGGUGAGAUACAAGUGUGGCAGCAGACCAGGAUGGUAUAUUAAGAAGAGUGUAGCUGCAUUUCCUAGAAUAAUAUUUCUAAGUCAUGUCUUUAAAGUAAAGGAGUGUCUCGUCUCCCAGGAUUGUGUUCUCUGUCAAGCUGUCACAAUAGCUUAAUUUACAACUAAUUAAGACACAUUCACUGUUAAUUUUGCAUGCAAACCCAAACUUUGCUUGCUUACAUUUGUGGGAAUAUGCUUAGGGUCUUUUUAAGAGGAGACUUUUUUUCUCUUUGCCACAGUUUGACAGAAGUCCUUCUGAUGUCUUACAGAGCAGCAGUGGCCUACAAGACCAGAGCCUGAGAAACAGCCCCACAGAUGGAGCUGCAGGGAUCCUUCAUUUAUCAACUACAUGAUUAAUUUGAUGUGGACCGAUACUUGCUCUUGGCUUUGCUCUCUUUGCUCUUUGGGUUUUUUUUGUUGUGGUUUUGGUUUUGGGUUUUGCUGUGUUUGGUUUGGUUGGUUUUUUUAUUUAUCUUGUGUUUAUAAUAUCUGCAGUAGAUCCUUUUAUGUAUAAAAACAUAAAAUCAUGUAUUGUACACAGGUAGUAAAAGCACUGAUUUGCUACUGCAGUGUGUUUCUCAAACUAGCUGAGUUCAUUUAGGCAAUGUACUUUAUCAAAGCUGUAUUUUGCCCACAGCAAAACAAACUGUCAGCUGUUACAGAGGAAUAAUUAUUUUUCAUAUUAAAAUGUGGCUAUAUGACAGUUCAUUGCAUUCAUUAAACAACUACCUAUUCUUCAGUCUGGAGUCAGAACUGCUUUCAGAGAGUAUCCAGCUUGCUACUGAAAUGAUUUAAAUAGGUCGAGUGUAACACUGUAAAUAUGACCAAGGCAAAAAGCCAGUCAAUAAAACUGUCAGUUUUACCCUAAUAAAGGAGGAAGGCCUUUGCUAUUUCUCUGUAGCAGACAGUUUAUUGUCCAGCUGUAUGCAGCAGCUUCAGGACAUCUGGCCACUUAAUCACUGAGUAUCAAGUCCAGAAUGCCAAAGGAGCCACAAGCAAAAUAAUCAGUGGUCUGAUUUUCUUUAGUACUGAAGACCCUGCACAUAGCUCUGACAUCAGCAGAUGGUUUUGGUGUGAAAUGCAUGAGAUUUCAACAUUCCUGGUGGCUGUCAGAAAAUGACAAAGAGUUUUGAUGGAACAACAAUCUGAAGAAGCACAUAUUGCCUAGGCGAGAUUAUAUUGCUUAUAUGGUGGGGCAUAAGUCUGGGAAAGACAGGAAGGCAUUUAUCUCUGCCAGGAGAUGGUCAGCCUUGUCCCAGUGCCUGCCUUAAGCCACAGUUGGAAGCAACAAGAGCAUCAGUGGUCCCAGCUGGAAGCAUACACAACAGUCUCAGCCAAGGCAGGGUGGCUGUUAACUGUUUCUGCUUUGAAAAUAAGGUACCUGGUUACCUGUAACCUAAUUCAGAGGCAAAAAGGAUGGGCUCAAGACUAUGCCAAAACAGUGUGGUCAAUGCUCAGUACUGCUGGUGUGUAAGGAAAGGGUGUUCUUUGCUCUAGUUACCCUAGAAGCAGCUCCUGCCCAGACUAAAACAUCCACCGAGUUACACAACUAAGUGAACCAGCUCCUUCCCCCUGCAAAGCCUUCUGUAAGGCCUCAGGUAGUCCUGUGCACAUAGAAAUCCCCUUGCUUUAGCAAACACAUCAAUCUCUCACUUUCAUUGCUACAGAUUAGGGCUUAAAAAUAGACUUGACAUCAGGAUUUUCUGGUUUAUACAACAAAGUUAAAGUUCAAUAUAUUGAUAUGAGCUGUAAGGCUUAUUUCCUUCAGGGUGCAAUCAAAACAUGUGGAUUUCUACAGCUACAAGUGCACAGCUUUGGUACGACUGCAGGUGCAAAAGCUGCUGUGGGAGCCCACAGGCAGCUGAAGUUAGACAAGACUGAGACCAUACCGGUGGGCAGUGUUGGCCUAUCUGUGUUUCCACUUUGGGAAGGGAUCCCACAUCCUGUGCUUUAAACCAGGAGAGUUCUGGAAAGCAAUUUUGCAUCAUGAUAAUGCCUGCCCUCAUCACCAUUUUCUCAGGACACAUUGCUCCUCCCUGUCUGAUGAGUCUAUCAGGAUCUGUGUUAUCUCACAAAAAGGACAGCCAUGGAUCUGGAAAGCCAUGAGGCUUAAGUGAUCUACUUCCCACAACUGUGCACUCAGAGGGGCAGUUACAAGGAGGUUGGGCUAACACAGACACUGAAUCUGCUGCAGAACUGACAGGAGGCAGUCAUCAGCUCAUCUGUUUAGUUGUAGUAAAUUAUCACUAAAUCCCCAGACACCCUCGGACUAUAGAGGUUUCCAAGGUACCAAAAGGGAAGCAUUAAUACAUUACAUGGAGGAGGAAAACAAGAGAAGGACACAGAGUGUUAGGGGUAAAAAUAGGAAAAAAUCCCCAAUAUCCCUUCUUUUCAGGUGAGUCCCUCCUCUACUGAAAUACAGAGCUGUCCUCUGUCACCUACCAUGUUGUUUGUGCUUGUUCAGCUGUGGAGAAAUCCGUCUGAUGAAAUGAAACAUCUCGGCCCAGAAAUGAGGUAGCUGCUAAGUGAGAGUACUGGCUUCACACAGCCAUCAAGGCAAACGCCUUAGGACUGAGCUGUUCAACCUGCAAUGGAAAACAAUUUUGCUUUUUUUUCUUCCCACUGGGUAUAAGUCUUCCCUGUCUCUCUGUUGUGCUAGUGAAAGCAAAUUUCACUGGAAACUGAAUCCAUUUACAAAUAUUUUGACAGAUUGAGACAGUUGCUUAGGAAAAAAAAUGAUUAAAUGUAUGCAGAUAAAAUAUAGUGUCAUGUGAACAGCUGCUGCACAGACCCACAGCCUGUGUGGACAUAAUUUUAUUUAUGCUUUCUAAAGUCUAUGUGGGUGUCCCUGUAAAACAGAAAGUGAACAUUACUCCUGUUGGUGAUAAAUUAAAGAAAAAUCUCAGAUGAUUAAUCCUCCAAAAUGUGCAGUCUUGACUUUUUUUUCUUUAAGUUUUUUGACAGGAAGAUAUACAUGCAAAAUGGUACCAACACUGCUCUUGUAUACGCUCACACGUCCCAUUCUAUAGAUCUCAUUGGCAACACCCUUUGAGGCUGUCUCUGUUUCUGACUGGAACAGGUCAUUAUGUGUGUCCCUCAAUCCAUCACUUUUGAAGUAUCCUGCAAAGAGAUUGCCAUUAGAAGCCAGUGCAGCAAAACCAACUAUCUUCCAUCUAAAAAAUGACUUGCAUUUUUGUAUCACAUCUUAUUUUUCUAUUUCUAACAUUAUAUUACCUAUUUAUAUAGUUACUCUUCUGCAGGGACAGAGACCAUGCUGUAUCUGCUUUUCCUGUACCAAUUACUGCUAUUUUAAGAUGACUGUGUAGAAAUGUCUGCAAAUAAAUAUUUGCUGGAAGUU